rnacentral:tRNA from 1 species
GGAUAUACAGCUCAGUUGGUAGAGUGCUUGUCUUGCAUGCUUGUCUUGCAUGCACAUAGGCCCUGGGUUCAAUCCCCAGCAUAUCUC